CUCAAGAGUAUAUAAACAAUAAAGACUGCUGACGGAAGACUCUCAGACAAGACAAGCUACGAUGAAGAUUCUGAGACAACCCAAGUGGCCAAGAAGAAGAGACCAACCAAAACAGCAGAGAUUUCUUGGAGAAGACACUCUCCAACCUGUUGAGCCACCUGCAGGCUGUGUAGAAUGUUCCAGGUUCCCAGCUUUGGGAGCUGUCACACAUUCUGGGAUGGACUUUGAUGAUGCAGCUGUCUUAGAGUCAUUUCUGCUUUUGAUUUUGCUAUAGAACCAAGCUUGCUGUGAAUCCACUACGUAGCCCAGACUGAUCUUGGACCUGCAACAAUAUUCCUGCUUCAGUUUUAUGCAUGCUGAGAUUUCAAGUGUGCACCAUUAUGCCUAUAGUGCCAGUUUAUCUCCUUGAAGAUAAUGGAGGCCCAGUUAAAGGAACCCGCCAGGAAGAAAAGACCCCUGAAUGGAUGCUGCUGCUGACUCUCCCAUCCUCUGCUAAACCCCAACCAGGGAUUGCACAGCUCAUAGUGGGUGACCCUUCUCACCUCAAUGUAAUCCAAAUAAUUCCCCACAGCCAUGUCCACAGGCUCUUCGGUCAGGUGAUGUAUGAUUCUGUCAAAUUGGCAAUUAACCCUAACCACCACAAGUCCCAAUUAUCAAUAAUUCACAGUAUCUUGAGAAGCAGAAGAGGCAACCCAGGAAAGCAAGGCAAAAUUCUAGAUGUGGAAACUAGAAAAAAAAAUAAUACAGGAAAUAAAACACUCAAUGAACUGAAGUAAUGCAACAUUCGGGCUCAUUUACUUUCUCCUUG
rnacentral:lncRNA from 1 species